UAGGGAAUCUUCCACAAUGGACGCAAGUCUGAUGGAGCAACGCCGCGUGAGUGAAGAAGGCUUUCGGGUCGUAAAACUCUGUUGUUGGAGAAGAAUGGUCGGCAGAGUAACUGUUGUCGGCGUGACGGUAUCCAACCAGAAAGCCACGGCUAACUACGUGCCAGCAGCCGCGGUAAUACGUAGGUGGCAAGCGUUAUCCGGAUUUAUUGGGCGUAAAGAGCUUGUAGGCGGUUUGUCGCGUCUGCUGUGAAAGGCCGGGGCUUAACCCCGUGUAUUGCAGUGGGUACGGGCAGACUAGAGUGCAGUAGGGGAGACUGGAACUCCUGGUGUAGCGGUGGAAUGCGCAGAUAUCAGGAAGAACACCGAUGGCGAAGGCAGGUCUCUGGGCUGUAACUGACGCUGAGAAGCGAAAGCAUGGGGAGCGAACAGGAUUAGAUACCCUGGUAGUCCAUGCCGUAAACGUUGGGCACUAGGUGUGGGGGACAUUCCACGUUUUCCGCGCCGUAGCUAACGCAUUAAGUGCCCCGCCUGGGGAGUACGGCCGCAAGGCUA
rnacentral:rRNA from 1 species